AGCUUUUCAAAUCCGUGCUGAGAUUUUGUCAGACAGCAACCCAUUAGAGCUGAUCAGGAUUCCGAGAUAAGUGAAGUU
rfam:Schistosoma haematobium scaffold5118_1, whole genome shotgun sequence.